rnacentral:lncRNA from 1 species
UCGUUUAUUGGCUCACUCUUCCUUUCAUCCAUCCAUCCUUUGCGCAACAAUAUUUGAUGGGAAGCCUGCCAAGUUUUCAGAUUACUCCAUUUGAUUCUCACAAGAACAUCGUAAAUGGAAAAGACUAGAAUUGCCCUGAGUUCACAGAUUGGUCAUCGAGGUCAAAGAAAUCAAGUGACUUCUGGAGGCCACACAGCUAAUAAACAGCAAGGCAAUGACUUGAACCCAGGUCUUCUGGUUCCAGAGGCAGGGAGAAAGACACAUGGGCAGGAGAAUACCACAUGGAGACACAGACACACGAGGGGAGGAUGCCUGCUGACCAUGGAGGCAGAAGUGGGACUGACGCAUCGAUCAGCUGAGGGAUGCCAAGCACUGCCAGCAAACACCAGAGGCUUGAUGGGGGCGAGUAUUCUCCUGUGCAGGUAUCAGAGGGAGCCUGGCCUUGCAGAUACCUUGAUUCCUGACUUCUGGCCUCUAAAAUGUCCAAUGUGAGUCAGGCAUCUCUCCUGGUGGCUGUCUUCCAUGUGGUGACUUAUGUAUCCAGGAUCCUUCUACUGUGUUUCUCCUCCAUUGCGAAGUCCUUCACUUCCAGCACCUGAGACAUUUUUUGGGUAUAUCUACAAGUGGCAUAUAUCACUUCUGCCCACAUUCACCUGGGUAGAACUCAAUCACAUUGUUUCACCUAACUGCAAGUGAGGCUGUGGAAUAUAGUCUCCCUAUGUGCCCAAGCAGAAGAAACAGGAUUGUGUGACUCUACAAUGUGUGAUUGCUCCUGGUGAAUCAAAAGGAUAAAGCUGCUGAUUCUGCAAUUUGAUAACCCAACCAUGCUGACCUCAAAGUGUAGUCAAUCCAUGAAGUUCCUCCCACCACAGCUCAUCCUGAACACUGCCCACCUGAGUCAUCAAGAAAGGUUUAAGUACAUUAUCUGUGCUCUGUUUAAUAUGUCCGUGAAGUGUGUCCUAAAUUUAGUUAUUUCUAGGACCUCUUUCUAGUUUGCAAGUAAGCCAGGUUCUACUGCUGUCAAGUGUUACUCAUGGCUAACUGAGGAAAAGGGGUUCAAAAACAUUGAGAAGACGAAAAGGAGGGAGAAGGCUGGGUUAAUGGGGACGGAGGUAAGGGGUGAGACCCCGGCUAAACAGUGAAGAUAAAAACAGACAUGUAAAUGAGAGAACCGGAAGAGAAGGUAAUGGUGAAAGUCAAUACGGGAAGGAAAGGGGUUGUAGGGGACAAACACUGAGAGGGCAAGAACUUGGAGUAGGUGAAACUAAGGUGAGCGAGGAGGCUGAAGAGAGGUCAGCUGCAGCGGGAAAGAGGGAAGGGCCCUUUAAGAGACACAUCAAGCCGCAGGUGUGGGCCACGAGGCUGGCGCAGGGCUGUCGCUUCACGCGCCGCAGACUCAUCCAGAAGCGCCUUGGGAGCUGCGGAGCCCUAGAGCCUCCAUCCGGGCAGCAAAGCAGCUCACGUGUCCCACCCGGGAAGGGCAGGAGUGGGCGAGGAAUGGUGGAGGGAAAGGAGGGAAAGCGGAGAAACAGGAGGGAGGGGGAAAGCUGCCGCUGCAGAAAAGAAACGAGUAAGCCCCUUUGUGCUUGGCCUGCGAGGUGUUUCCUUCCCGAGCAGACUUGAAGCUGUCACCUCUCAGUCUGGGUUUGGAAUAAAUACACUCGCCCACCGAGAGAUGAGGCGGCGCCUGGCCGCACCUGGGAGGUACCUGGUCGCACCUGGAAGUGCCUGGUCUCCCCUGGCAGGUACCUGGCC